rnacentral:rRNA from 1 species
UACGUAGGGUGCGAGCGUUAAUCGGAAUUACUGGGCGUAAAGCGUGCGCAGGCGGCUUAGCAAGACAGAUGUGAAAUCCCCGGGCUUAACCUGGGAACUGCAUUUGAAACUAGGUCGCUAGAGUACGGCAGAGGGGGGUAGAAUUCCACGUGUAGCAGUGAAAUGCGUAAAGAUGUGGAGGAAUACCGAUGGCGAAGGCAGCCCCU